rnacentral:lncRNA from 1 species
UGUCUCUCUCCCUGAUCGUUAGAUUUAGGACUGUGGAAAGUUUUCUUUGAAGAAAGUGCUCUGUAUCUCAAAAAAUUUGAAAACCACUGAAGAAACCUAAAGUGCUUUGUUUCAUAGAAGUGGAAUCCACAGCUCAGAAAUGGUAGGUGACAUCUCAGAGUCACAGAGCUAAGAGGAAAGGAAGGCCCAAGUGGAACCCAGCUCUCUGGAGUCUUAUAACUGUCGCAUACCUUUUGUACACUUCCUCAUUGAUAGGAGCCAGCUCACUCAGAGUCAUUACAGGAGGCGGCCUCAAACAGCCAUAUUCACAUUCAGAAGAUAGGCAGUUGGUUUUAUGGCUUUUUACCUUUGCUUAAAGAGUACACAGCUUGUCAAAAAUGAGCCAUAGAUAUAUAAAACUUGGGUGUCCUCAGCUGUUGGCCAGUUGUUUAGUUUCAAGUUUUGUUGAGUCAAAUUCCUGUAAAAUUAGAUCCAGCCCCACCCUUGUCCACCCCGAGGCUCCCCUAACUGCUAACCCUGUUCGAGAAGGAAUCUAGGUUUGCAGCCGGCUACAUUCUCUUCCUGCCCCCACCUUCCACGGUGUUAAGUGAGAAACACAAAACAUAUGGAUGCUCAUGAAUAAUUCAAGCCCCCAAGAGAAGGCUAUUCGAUACUGACCCAACACAAACCUUUCCCAUCAAUCUGCAUUUUUUAAACUAACCCUGGGAAAGUCCACCUUCUUCAGAUGUGCGAAUACAAGGCAGUUGUGAUUUGCAAGCCUAAAAGGUCCUCAAGUAAGAAAAUCAAUUGAAACCCAAAGUGGCAUCUCAGUUUUAUUAAGUCAGCAUUGUCUGGCCUGCAUUAUUUAAUAGGGUGAUUCUCUUCUGACCUCUGAAGAGUUAAAUCUCAUGAACAGUGGGGCAGAAUGCUAUCUAUUAUAAUUUCGACUUUCAUGAUUGGAAAGACAGAAUUCAUUAUUCUGCUGAAAGUAGGCUCCGAAAUGGUUUUUAUUUCAGCUCAUCCAUCAGAAGGGAGUGUGCCUCAGAAGAUUUUAUUGACCUCAUUUCAGUCUUGUGACCCAUUUGUUUAAACAUUUAAAAUUGAUACUUAAAAGGAACAACACUCAAGGGCAUUCUGACCAGCCCUAGUUUCCAGGUAGAAAGUGGCAUCUUUAGAUGUGCCAAGGGGAGCCCUCCCCAAAGACAAUAGGCUAGAAGCCUCAGUGAAAAUAGGAACAGUCUCAAAGACUUCCUCUCAAGAGUGAUAUAUUAAGGAUCCAACAGGAAAUACAGGUGUGAGGAGUCGCUUGCUUGAGAGUUCUGAUUCGACAUUCACCGGCUCUUUGGGAUUAAAUUUCAGGCCACUGUAAUCACCAGAGAAAUUCAAAAUCAAAUACAGCUUUGGAGUUCAAUUUCUGUCUACCAAUUUGAUGGGUUACAUUUCUUCCCAAAAUUGUAUUAGUUGAUUGAUCGGAUUAUCCAAAUAUAUAGUUUAUUCUGACGUAAGAGAAACAGUGCCAUUUCUCUCACUUGUUAAGUGGAUGUAAUAGAAAAUGAAACUUCUGCACAGAUAUUGAUAAAACUUGAGUUGGGACAUCUAAGAACUAUUUCGACUAGAGUUUGAUAAACUAUGGCUCACAGGCCAAAUCCACCUCACCUCCUGUUUUUAUAAAUAAAGUUUUGUUGGAACACGACUGCCCCUUUCCUUUUCGAAUUUUCUGUCUCUGCUUUCACACUGCAGUGGCAGACUCCAGUGGUUUUGACAGAGGACCAUCAGGCCUGAAAAGGCAAAAAUAUUUACUAUUUAACUCUUUACACAAAAUGUUCACCAAUCCUUAAAUUGACUGUAGUACACAGAACCUAUGACCAUCUGUCAUAGGCUUCACAGAAGUCCUCUGAAAGAGAGGGAUAUUUAUCAGGUCAAAAAAUCAGGGACAGCUGGCCUGGACAUUUAAUCAAAGCUAGAUUGCCAAAGAAAACUAUUUGACAAUUAAUGGCAUUAUUAUAUCUGAAGAAGAGCGAGGUGACAAGAAGGAGUAAAGUUGAUUCCUGGUGCACUGGAGAAGGAAAGCACCAAACCCAGAAUUUGUUGGCACCACUUAUACAAUCUUGCUCCAGUUCAGGAGACUGAAACCAGGAGAUACGGAACAGGGAUAUUUCAUUGGGCCUUGCUAUGGCUUGGAUAAGGAGGAGGCAACGUUUUUCUAUAAAAGGCCAGCGAGUAAAUAUUUUAAGCUUCGAAGGCCAAGAGGCAAAAUCAAGUAACAGUUCUUGGAAGGCUAACCUGUUUAGUUUGCUGGCCAGACAAAAACGGGUGGCAGGCUGGUUUUGGCUCAGGGGCCAUGGCUUGCUGACAUCUGGAUUAGAGGAAGACUUCUGAAUAGUUUCACAUCUUUUUCUUCAGCUUCCAUGUUCAUUAACCAUCCUUCUAAUUACUAAAUGCUAAUCUGAUAUAUUCUACUGAGAGACCUAAAAGGGACUGGAAAUAUUGACUUUCAGCAAAGAAAAGAUAAGAACUAUCUCCCAAUAUCCCACUAGAAAGUAAACACACUUGGAGCUUCAAUGUGUAGCCUAGGGCCAGGAGUGUGGUGGAUACUUAAUAAAUAUUGCUGAAAGAGUGAUCAUGUUGCCACGGCAAUUCUAUCCUUGAGGGCCCAUCUGGACAAACAACUGUUUUCUCUAGAUAACACUUCUGCUUAUAUUUCUCUGACUCUAGCCAACAUUUGAAAAUCUAAUUUAGCAAAUAUGUGACAUGACAUCAAAUUUAUUCUCUUCUAUUAUCGCUGACAUAUGAGGUGACCUGGUGCAAUUGACCUGGUUGCUGUUGGUGUACAGGCAGGUUUUGUGCUUUCCUUAAUGUCAGUAGGUUGUUAAAGGACACAUCUUUUCCAUUAGCCCAUUGUCGAAGAAGCUAUUUAUGACCAGGUAGCAUUUCCCUCAAGUAGUACUCUCUUUGGGAUGGUGUCUUGCCUAAAUUUUAGAUAUUUUAUUUUAUUGAGAAAAUAUCUUUUCAC